AAUCAGCCAGUGUCAUCCCCCAAACCCUAACUCAACCGCAUAGAGUCUCCACCCCCAUCAGCCGCCACCGUCUCAUCUCGCUCUCACACCUCACGGACAGCACCCAGCCUCGCUCUCCUCUCGGACCCUCUUCAGCACCGUCGCAAGCUCACGGGGGCACCACCCCUGCCGCAGCCGCCGUCAUCGCCGCCGCGGCUGCCGUUCCUGCCUCGGCGAACUGAGGCGUGCACCCCGCCGCCGCCGGCGCGAGCCACGCCCCCACGUCGUCCUCAGCUUGGCACCUCCAUCCCAGUGGCGACCUGGGCUUGGUUCUCCCCGCCGGCGAGCUCUGACGAUGCCGGUGACCUCAGCUCGCCCCUUCCUCUGCCUCCUGUAAGUGACCUAGGCCCCUUCCUGGACAGCGCCCCCACUUCCUCCGAGUUUCUCCUCUCCUUCCCUGGAACAGCAGGUUGUCUGAGGUGUACAAGAAGAAGGUGCUCCUUGGACUCUGCCCUGAUAAAAGCUGCACCAUCUACAGAUUUUUGCCUAGCUGCUGGUUCUCUAUUCAUUCCCCAUUCUGCCGUGUCGAAUGCUACUCCAUUCAGGGCAGCAAGGUAUGACAUUUUUGUUGACUUACUAGAGGUGGACCAUUUUGUAAACAGUAGAAGAAAACUAUGAGACAGACUGUGGAACCGAAUAUCUCUAGUCUAGCAUUUUGGCCAAAAUUGUGUAUUUCAACUUAGCUUCUGUUAGCCAUGAAUUGUGUGUAAAAUGGCAUGACCUGUUGAUAGAUUGUGUGAAAAAUUAUUUCAUUGUGCACAGAGGGAAUUGAAUAUUUUAGUCUGCAGAAAUAUUUUUGACUGACAAGCUUGCUGUUUUUCUUCUUGCUUUGAACAGGACCUCCGGAUAGGUAUUAGUGGAUUUAGGAUUUAUACCCACAUAAAAUAACUUCUUUGAUGCUUAUAUCGGUCUACUCUUUGACAGACCGUCCGCUUUACUUUCUUGUGUUCUACAUUACCAUUAAUUUUUUUUUGUUUGACUAGAAAUUAAGCUUCUUCUAAUGCCUGAAGAAAAGACUAUAUUGGAUCAGCACAAGACCCCUGACGUACUAGAAUAUCAUCAGUUAUGGUCUUCCAGGUUGUCUGUAUAAGGAUAUGCAAUGUUUUUGUUUUAGCUGAUUUUAAUUUCAAUCACUAUGCCAAUGCACACUCUGAUGUCAUGCUUUUACUUACUGGUGGAUGGGAUGCUUCUGGAACGGUAGAGUCCUCUACUUUUGCUUAGUUGAAUUUGAGACCUAUCUUUUUUUGUGCAAAAAUGCAAAUAUGCUUGAGCUUGGGACAUAUAUUGGAUAAGAGAUUACUAAAUUGAAUUAGAAAAGUUUUCUAAUGAACAGAAAUGCAAAUAUCCUCUAAAUACCUUAACCUCUAAUUUUUCUGUAAUCUAAAAUAUAUACAUUUUUUUGGUACCAACAAAAUAUGUAUACUUUGGUUCUUUCAUUUGUAUUACCAGAUAUCACAGCAAGAGAUGCAACAAGGAUGAUGAGUUAUUUGCUUAUGUUAAUUAAUUUCUGGAACCUUAAGGCCUUUGCUUCAGCGGACUUCGACAAGGAACUUGGAGGGCAGUUUUUGUUUUCAGAUCAUGACAACAUGUCAGAAUGAGCUUAGAUGUACACUGGUGCAGGCAAGAGGAUCAAAGUACUCAUGGUGGCUAUUUUAGAAAGUUUUUGUUAUGCAAGCAAAUCAUAUGAGUUGUAUUGUGCGAGCUACCCUCUUAGUUUUGUAGCUACUUACAUGUAGCUUGCUUAUUGCUUUUGUAUUUCCUAUAAAAAAUUGUACAAGUACAAAUGUUGAUGGUUUCAAUGAAAAGAUGACCAAUAUUUUUGUCAA